rnacentral:misc_RNA from 1 species
UGAGGGCGAGUGCGGACACGC